rnacentral:lncRNA from 1 species
UAUGUUCAGAAGAUGUCUUCAUCCAAGACUAGGCUUGACCAGCGGGUGGGAAGCGACUAGAGAAUAUGAUGUCUUUACUCAACUAUUUGUAGAUGUCAAGGAAUUUGUAUAGUAAAUAUAUUAGCUUUUGUGAUCCACUUCUGGUUUAUGCCUUCUUUAUCAUGCCUUGCGUGACUAUAGUCCUCCUUGUCUAUAGGCGCGCGGCGGCUGUCUCGCCUAGGCCCGGUCUCGGGGCGUGACAGUUAAGGCGUGAUUAAUUAAGCAUUAACCAUCAGUGGAUCACAAAAGCUCAUAUAUAUUGACGACAGAAAUUUCUUUACAUAUACAAAUAGACAAAAUACAUUAAAAUCUCUAGUCGUUUCCCACCCACUGGUCGAGCCUAUUCUUGGAUGACAUCUUCUGGGCAUACUUAAGUUACACCGACUGCAUCUAAGAAAUAGAGAAGACAAGGGUGAGUACGAUAAAUCAUACUCAGCAAGCAAAUACUUCACUAUUCAAUAAGGAGCAAUGGUAUGAUGGUGUAGAUCAACAGACGAACUGAAUUCAGAGGAUAACAAUGUAACAACCAUUGGAAUCAUAUUUUGAUGUAAAUGGACAAAAGAACAAAAUACCAGAUUUAGUAAAAACAACAAGGAAUCUAUUGGCGUCACACAUGACCGCAAGCUUCCCAACCCGGGAGUCACAGGGUGAAAUUUCACACUUUUACGCUCUUAAGAGGGGUACUCCGACGUCGACAGCCUCGACUAGAACCACACAGGUUCCAGAAGAGCAGAGCUCUUUUACCCACUAAGUCCCGGACACCUGUACCUACUUAUGUCGGUCGCUCCUACGGAUCCAUCACCGACACGUUCCCGAACAAGAUCCGACCUUAACGGAGAGCCCAGACAGUCCCAUACCUAAACUGUGACCGGUACAAUACGUUUGCAGUCGUGACACCAAUAUAGAUGGAUGUGUGUUUGAAUCAACAUUAGGACCACUGAAGUAUCGGUCAAAGACAAUACACUCAUGGCUUUUCAUGAGUUCCUCCAAAAUACUCUGAUUCCAUCAACAAAUGGAUUAUGAGGAAAACACAUCCCUCUUUCAAGGAUCAAUAGAGGAUCAACAAAGAUCAAGGUGCAAUGAUAUUACCAGAUAAUCAAGCAAGACAACAAUAAGGAGAGAUCAGGGAGUUUAGCAAAGCAGCUACUUGCCUCAGAUAAUAUGAUUUCUCCUUUAGAAUAAUACUCUGCAAGAAGAUGAAACUCCAUCAUCUUUGUAUAAAAUCUGACGACCGCGCAUAUACUAAUAUUCUUCUGACGUAUGGCUUUGUUCUUCCCUCCAUCAGCAUCUACACGAUCUAUAUAUCUUCAAACAUGGACGCAUGCAUACUUGUAUUCUUCAUCUCUCUUCUCUUCGCUCUCUCCGCUGGUAUGCUCUAUUUCUCUCAUGCUCUCUCCUAGUAUCUUCUCUUCGCUCUAUUUCUCUCAUGCUCUCACUCUUGGUGAUGAGGAUGUGCAAAACGAGUAGCAGUAGCUAUUUAUAGAUGGUGAGCCCAGAGUGAACUCAGCCGAGCUGUUCUUGAAGCACACAAUCAUCUAGACUCUACCUAUUACGUGGCAUGCAUGCCUUGGUCUACGUGGAGAACCUGGUAAAAGAUCUAAGCCGCAAUGGCCUUUGACCCUUGCCCCUUGACCCUUCGAACUGCUGCCCCUUUUGCUUGUGCAAAAGCCAAACAAACCUGACCACUAUACAAAAGCUCCACGUAGCAAUUUCUUUGUCCUAAAUAUCUAAGGAUGCUGCCAGCACAACCUAGCUUCAUCUAGUACCAGGCCACGUUGGCCCUCUCAUGCAGAGGAUUUUACUUAGCUUGUAAGGAUAGUACAUACGUGUGCAUUUUCAUCAUUACAUGCAUGCACAUCUUCUAGUAUUUGGCCAUCUUCUCAUUACUAGCUAUCCUGUACUAGCCACUAAUUUGUAUUAAUUUGCAUACUAAUGCCAUAACGUGAGUGCAUGGAUGCUAGUCUACGUGCACAUAUACAUAUUUACUUAGUGUGUAAUUAUAUCCAUCUAAUAUUUUAUGCAUGCAAAAAUUACAGCUCUAUUUUAAUUCUUUAAAACAGGAAUCUAGCAUAACUUAUUUGCCCAAUUAUUUUAUGUUAAACAGAUAACAGAAAUUUAAUACCCAACUUAAUUUAAAUUAAUAACCCAAAAAUAUGGGUUAUUACAUCUGCCACUUUAACUGUCACGCCCCGAGACCGGGCCUAGGCGAGACAGCCGCCGCGCGCCUAUAGACCAGGAGGACUAUAGUCACGCAAGGCGUGAUUAAUUAAGCAUUAACCAUCAGUGGAUCACAAAAGCUCAUAUAUAUUGACUACAUAAAUUUCUUUACAUAUACAAAUAGACAAAAUACAUUAAAAUCUCUAGUCGUUUCCCACCCACUGGUCCAGCCUAUUCUUGGAUGACAUCUUCUGGGCAUACUUAAGUUACACCGACUGCAUCUAAGAAAUAGAGGAGACAAGGGUGAGUACGAUAAAUCAUACUCAGCAAGCAAAUACUUCACUAUUCAAUAAGGAGCAAUGGUAUGAUGGUGUAGAUCAACAGACGAACUGAAUUCAGAGGAUAACAAUGUAACAACCAUUGGAAUCAUAUUUUGAUGUAAAUGGACAAAAGAACAAAAUACCAGAUUUAGUAAAAACAACAAGGAAUCUAUUGGCGUCACACAUGACCGCAAGCUUCCCAAUCCGGGAGUCACAGAGGUGAAAUUUCACACUUUUACGCUCUUAAGAGGGGUACUCCGACGUCGACAGCCUCGACUAGAACCACACAGGUUCCAGAAGAGCAGAGCUCUUUUACCCACUAAGUCCCGGACACCUGUACCUACUUAUGUCGGUCGCUCCUACGGAUCCAUCACCGACACGUUCCCGAACAAGAUCCGACCUUAACGGAGAGCCCAGACAGUCCCAUACCUAAACUGUGACCGGUACAAUACGUUUGCCGUCGUGACACCAAUAUAGAUGGAUGUGUGUUUGAAUCAACAUUAGGACCACUGAAGUAUCGGUCAAAGACAAUACACUCAUGGCUUUUCAUGAGUUCCUCCACAAUACUCUGAUUCCAUCAACAAAUGGAUUAUGAGAAAAACACAUACCUCUUUCAAGGAUCAAUAGAGGAUCAACAAAGAUCAAGGUGCAAUGAUAUUACCAGAUAAUCAAGCAAGACAACAAUAAGGAGAGAUCAGGGAGUUUAGCAAAGCAGCUACUUGCCUCAGAUAAUAUGAUUUCUCGUUUAGAAUAAUAUUCUGCAAGAAGAUGAAACUCCAUCAUCUUUGUAUAAAAUCUGACAAACGCGCAUAUACUAAUAUUCUUCUGACGUAUGGCUUCGUUCUUCCCUCCAUCAGCAUUUACACGAUCUAUAUAUCUUCAAACAUGGACGCAUGCAUACUUGUAUUCUUCAUCUCUCUUCUCUUCGCUCUCUCCGCUGGUAUGCUCUAUUUCUCUCAUGCUCUCUCCUAGUAUCUUCUCUUCGCUCUAUUUCUCUCAUGCUCUCACUCUUGGUGAUGAGGAUGUGCAAAACGAGUAGCAGCAGCUAUUUAUAGAUGGUGAGCCCAGAGUGAACUCAGCCGAGCUAUUCUUGAAGCACACGAUCAUCUAGACUCUACCUAUUACGUGGCAUGCAUGCCUUGGUCUACGUGGAGAACCUGGUAAAAGAUCUAAGCCGCAAUGGCCUUUGACCCUUGCCCCUUGACCCUUCGAACUGCUGCCCCUUUUGCUUGUGCAAAAGCCAAACAAACCUGACCACUAUACAAAACCUCCACGUAGCAAUUUCUUUGUCCUAAAUAUCGAAGGAUGCUGCCAGCACAACCUAGCUUCAUCUAGUACCAGGCCACGUUGGCCUCAUGC